rnacentral:antisense_RNA from 1 species
CAAUGGUGAACUGGGUGGGGGCAUCGCAAGGUGCGCCGGGUUCUCUGUUGACCGGUCUGUCAACCCUGCCCAGUUCACCACCU